CGCCUCUCUGGCAGACAUGUUGCCUGUGUUGGUCUAUGGGGAGCGGAGCACAACCCUAAGGGGCGUGCAGAGCUGUCGUCUGUGUGGGUCUGGGCUGCAGUUAGGAGGGGCUACGCUGAACUCCAGGGGCAGCGCCAUGGACGCCGUGGUGGAGGGGUCACUCUGUUGGAGAAUGACCACCACUACAACUCAGAUGGGCGCGGUAGGGGCGGUGGAUGCGGAAGGGAACAUAGCCUGUGCCAUCUUCACUGGCAUGCUGAACAAGAUGGAGGGCAGGCUGGGGGACACAGCCUGUAUCGAAGGGUGUGUGUGUGUGUGUGUGUGUGUGCCAGGAUGUGGGGGUUAUGCUGAUAACAAGGUGGGAGCAGUGUCCCCCACAGGAUAUGGAGAAGCCAUCAUGAAGGUCACACAUCCAAACUCAUGGCUAAACUCAUCCUGUUCCACAUGGUAACUAGGAAACAGUGAGGAGGCAGCAGCAGAUGAGGCCCCAGCCUAUAUGAAGGAGAGUGGUUGGUCUGGGUGAAGUGGUGCUGGACCCCCAUGGUUGAUGCUCCGCUCGCUCCAACAGCCUGCAGAUGGCCUGUACACUUCACAAAGAAUAUAGACGACCCCCACUAAAACACACACAGACACACACAAAACACUAUGGCUUGUAGUGGAGAAUAAUACAUCAUUAUACAAUAAAACAAAAUAACAGAGUAUAGAUGACUGACACUAACACACACACAUGGAAAGAGAGAGAGAGAGCGAGGGAGGAAGGCAUGGAAAGAGCAUAGACGAGUCUAGAAGACACAAAAACAACUGAUAGACUGCACUGAAUUGAAAUUUUUCCGUCCCAUAGACUCUUACCAUAACUGUGUCUUUAGCAAUCUGUAUAAUUGAAAUGUUUUCUAAUCCUCAAAUCAAUGCUCAUAUUUAGAGCCAGUAUUUGGAAAGUGUUGAUCAAAUGUAAACAUAGGAAUUCAGGAAUAAAGCUUGUUUUUAAAACAAA